AUUAAUUUAAAAAUUUUCUCCCAUCCAAAACUGAGUUUUUCUCUCAAAAUUAACUCAUCCCUAUAAAAUUUUUAGCCUUCCAAACACCAAUUCUUCCUUCAAUUUUUUUAAAAAAUUCCUCUUUUCCUCAUCAAUUUCUUCAUUGUUCUUCAAACGUUUUUUAGCGAAUUAGAUCUAUACUUCGUCAUCUUUCUCAUAUUGAGUUUCAGAUCCAACGGGAGCCUUUGAAAAUGAGCAUAUCGAAAGGCAAAGAAAAGCUUAUUUAACCUUCGACAAUUGAACGAAAGCGAUUUGGUGAAUGAUCGAAAUUAUUGUUUUUAGGCAUGAUUCUUUAAGUUGAAUGGGAGUUUAGGUUGGCAUAAACACCUAACAUAAGUUCCGAGUAGAAAUAACUAUAUUUGGGGGAUGGGGGAGAAGUGAGCAAGCUAAGUGAUCCAAGCAAGGCAUUCCUUUUGAGUAUGUGUUGUGUGACUUUUUGGCUAUAAAAAUAAAGACAAUGUGGGACCAUACUUGAGGGAAUUAAACUUUGUCAUUUCAUUGGUUUGUAAAUGGACUUUUAAGGAUUGUUUUAAGGAUUUUUGUGUUAGAACCGUAAAA